rnacentral:rRNA from 1 species
AUUGAACGCUGGCGGCAGGCCUAACACAUGCAAGUCGAGCGGAGCGGCGGACGGGUGAGUAAUACCUAGGAAUCUGCCUGGUGGUGGGGGAUAACGUUCGGAAACGGACGCUAAUACCGCAUACUAUCAGAUUAGCCUAGGUCGGUUUAGCUAGUUGGGGAGGUAAUGGCUCACCAAGGAUACGAUCCGUAACUGGUCUAAGAGGAGGAUCAGUCAAACUGGAAUUGAGACACGGUCCAGACGCCUACGGGAGGCAGCAGUGGGGAAUAUUGGACAAGGGGCGAAAGCCUGAUCCAGACAUGCCGGGGGUGUGAAGAAGGUCUUCGGAUUGUAAAGCACUUUAAGUUGGGAGGCGUUACCGACAGAAUAAGCACCGGCUAACUCUGUGCCAGCCGCCGCGGUAAUUC